ACGAACCGUCCAAACGUUAUUCGGAUUUAUUGGGCUUAAAGGGUAUGUAGGCGGCGCUGUCAGUCGGGUGUGAAAUCCCUCGGCUCAACCGAGGAACUGCGCCCGAUACUGCAGCGCUUGAGGGAGACAGAGGUAAGCGGAACUGAUGGUGGAGCGGUGAAAUGCGUUGAUAUCAUCAGGAACACCAGUGGCGAAAGCGGCUUACUGGGUCUCUUCUGACGCUGAGAUACGAAAGCUAGGGGAGCGAACGGGAUUAGAUACCCCGGUAGUCCUAGCUGUAAACGAUGAGCACUUGAUCGUGGGGCCCCCCAUAGCCUCUCGGUCGCAGCGAAAGCGGUAAGUGCUCCGCCUGGGGAGUAUGGUCGCAAGGCUG
rnacentral:rRNA from 1 species